UCGCUUUGGCAGCACAUAUACUAAAAUUGAAACUAUACAGAGAAGAUUAGCAUGGUUCCUGCACAAAGAUGACAUGCAAAUUUCUGAAGCGUUCCAUGGCCAA